rnacentral:rRNA from 1 species
GCUUGUCUCAAAGAUUAAGCCAUGCAUGUCUAAGUAUAACUCUUUUACUUUGAAAACUGCGAACGGCUCAUUAUAUCAGUUAUAGUUUCUUUGAUAGUCCCUUACUACUUGGAUACCCGUAGUAAUUCUAGAGCUAAUACAUGCAUCAAUACCCAACUGUUCGCGGAAGGGUAGUAUUUAUUAGAUAAAAAAUCAAUACCUGUUCUGCAGGUCCUAUUGGUGAGUCAUAAUAACUGUUCGAAUCGCAUGCUUCGGCAGGCGAUAGUUCAUUCAAAUUUCUGCCCUAUCAGCUUUCGACGGUAGUGUAGUGGACUACCGUGGCGUUAACGGGUAACGGAGAAUUAGGGUUCGAUUCCGGAGAGGGAGCCUGAGAAAUGGCUACCACAUCCAAGGAAGGCAGCAGG